rnacentral:rRNA from 1 species
GUAACAACUCACCUGCCGAAUGAAUUAGCCCUGAAAAUGGAUGGCGCUGAAGCGGGUAGCCGACACCACGCCGUCUGGGCGAGUUAUUGCUUCAGAUGAGUAGGAGGACGUGGCGGUCGUAUCGAAGCGUGCGCGCAAGCGUGCGUGGAACGGCCGCUAGUGCAGAUCUUGGUGUUAGUAGCAAAUAUUCAAACGAAAACCUUGAAGGGCGAAGCGGGGAAGGGUUCCACGCGUACAUUGAUUGGGUGUGGGUGAGUCGUUCCUAAGCCGAGUGGCAAUAGCUAAUUACCGGCGAAAGGGAAGCAGGUUGACAUUCCUGCACACGGAUGUGGAGGCGGUGACGCACUUCUGGAGUAGUGAAGCUGGCUUUGGCACUGGGCAGAGUUGUCUUUUCUGUUUAACCGCCCAAACUGGCACUGUGUGGAAUCCGCUUGUCGGGAGAAACACGUGCCGACGGGAAAAGCGCCGGGAUUUUUCCGGCGUCCAGUUCGCCAUCGACGGACCUUGAAAAGCUACUUGCUGGCACAGUCCUUCGGAGUUUUUCCGGAGAUCAGCUGUGUGUGAAAAAAUCCACGCCGUAACGUACCGAUAACCGCAUCAGGUCCCCAAGGUGAACAGCCUCUGCUCGAUAUGGUAAAUGCAGGUAAGGGAAGUCGGCAAAAUCGACCCGUAACUUUGGGAAAAGGGUUGGCUCUAGUGCUGCGUGGGAUUGGUUGCUGAGGUGUCCGGAUUGAUCCGGUGUGAAACUGCGGCGGAGCGGGCGAAACCCCUCGGGGUGGAGCAAGCGCCGAAGCGGGGACGGACCGUCGAACAACGAGGCCCGCGGCGACGCCCACGGCAUGCAGCAAACUAGAACUGCAACGGGCAAAGGGAAUCCGACUGUUUAAUUAAAACAAAGCAUUGCGAAGGCCGUGGCCGGUGUUGACGCAAUGUGAUUUCUGCUCAGUGCUCUGAAUGUCAAAGUGAAGAGAUUCAAAUAAGCGCGGGUAAACAGCGGGAGUAACUAUGACUCUCUUAAGGUAGCCAAAUGCCUCGUCAUCUAAUUAGUGACGCGCAUGAAUGGAUUAACGAGAUUCCUACUGUCCCUACCUGCUUCUAGCGAAAACACAGCCGAGGGAACGGGCUCGGCAAAAAUGGCGGGGAAAGAAGACCCUGUUGAGCUUGACUCUAUUCUAAAACUGUGAAACGAGUUGGGAGGUGUAGAAUAGGUGGGAGAGGGGCUUGCUCCUCGUCCGUGAAAUACCACUACUCCCAAUCUCGUUUUACUUACCAGGUUGCUGUGGGCCGAGUCGAAAGGCUCUUUGUUUCUGGACCCAACACGUCGCGAGUUUCGACUCGUGGCGUAGACCACCGCCUGGAACACUUUUAGGAGGGGAGUUUGGCUGGGGCGGCACAUCUUCUACAAGACAACGAAGGUGUCCAAAGAUAAGCUCAGUGAGAACAGAAAUCUCACGUAGCGCAAAAGGGUAAAAGCUUGUUUGAUUUUGAUUCCCAGUGCGAGUCGAAAACGCGAAAGCGUGGCCUAUCGAUCCUUUUGAAUUUCGAGAUUUGAAGCAGAG